CCUACGGGUGGCAGCAGUGAGGAAUAUUGGUCAAUGGGCGAGAGCCUGAACCAGCCAAGUCGCGUGAGGGAGUACUGCCCUAUGGGUUGUAAACUUCUUUUGUCGGGGUGAAAAAGCCUGACGUGUUCGGCUGUGAGAGUACCCGAAGAAAAAGCAUCGGCUAACUCCGUCCCAGCAGCCGCGGUAGUACGGAGGAUGCGAGCGUUAUCCGGAUUUAUAGGGGUUAAAGGGUGCGCAGGCGGAUUUUUAAGUCAGCGGUCACAGCGUGGGGCUCAACCCCAUCCAGCCGUUGAAACUGGGGAUCUAGAGUGUGCGAGAGGUAUGCGGAAUGCGUGGUGUAGCGGUGAAAUGCAUAGAUAUCACGCAGAACCCCGAUUGCGAAGGCAGCAUACCGGUGCACAACUGACGCUCAGGCACGAAAGCGUGGGUAUCGAACAGGAUUAGAUACCCGGGUAGUC
rnacentral:rRNA from 1 species